rnacentral:lncRNA from 10 species
CGAAGACCCAGAUUCAUAGGAGCUUAACCUAAUGCAUGAAAAAGAGAGAUCUCAACACAUCCAGUGUCAAGUAGGGUACCCCAUCCUAGUCAAUAUAUUUUUCAUCAUGACAAAUAAGAAGAAGAAAUGUGGAUACUCAGAGAGACAUCAGGGUUGUACACACAAAGGGAAGACCAUGUAAGGCACAACAAGAAGGCAGCCAUCUAUAAGCCAAGGGGAGAGGACUGGAACGGAUCUUCCCUCAUAGCUCUCAGAAGAAACUGCCCCUGCUGACGCCUUGAUCUUAGACUUCCAGCCUCCAGAACUGUGAGAAAAUAAAUGUCUGUUGUUUAAGCCACC